AAAAAAAAAAAAGGAUCUGCUAGAAACAGCGAAAGGUAGUGGAUUCUUGACCAACUGUACCAAUCAUUCACAUCAAAAGGCAAGAGACUGAAAUAAAUAAGACUUCACUCAACACAGAGAAGAUGAGACAAUGAGGAAAAAAAGAAAAGAGAAACUGACUAGAAAAAAAGAGGAAAGAUUGAAGAAAAUGAACAUAGUUCCACCUUAAAGUUUGAUGCAGCUCUGUUUUUCUGAAUGGACCGUCUUUAUCUCCACUGCAAGUACAGCAACCCAGGCAGAUGUUCUUUGAUUGUAUGUCUCACAAUUUUGUAAUCUAUCAUUGUUAAUUAAACUCUGAAAGCUG